AUCGAGAGAGGGGCUUCGCGCUCCCGGGGGUUUCGGCCCCCAACUCUUCACCCAUUGUUAAUUUACCCUUGUUGCUUUGGCGGAUUCCGGGGUAGGUCUUGCGUAGGUUUGUCAUAAACCCGUGCGAGAUGUGCCCCGGCGCCCGCCGGAGGCCCAUUAAAAUCUGUUUAUUAGUGAUGUCCGAGUCAUACCAAUAAUAAAAACUUUCAACAACGGAUCUCUUGGUUCCAGCAUCGAUGAAGAACGCAGCGAAAUGCGAUAAGUAAUGUGAAUUGCAGAAUUCAGUGAAUCAUCGAAUCUUUGAACGCACAUUGCGCCCCCUGGUAUUCCGGGGGGCAUGCCUGUUCGAGCGUCAUUACACCCCUCAAGCACAGCUUGGUAUUGGGCUCUCGCCCCCGCGGCGUGCCCGAAAAGCAGUGGCGGUCCGGUGUGACUUUAAGCGUAGUAAAUUUCUCCCGCUUUGAAAGUUCGCCCCGUGGCCUGCCAGACAACCCCAUAUACUUCNAAUA
rnacentral:rRNA from 1 species